UACGAAGGGGGCUAGCGUUGCUCGGAAUCACUGGGCGUAAAGCGCACGUAGGCGGAUUGUUAAGUCAGGGGUGAAAUCCUGGAGCUCAACUCCAGAACUGCCUUUGAUACUGGCGAUCUCGAGUCCGGGGAGAGGUGAGUGGAACUGCGAGUGUAGAGGUGAAAUUCGUAGAUAUUCGCAAGAACACCAGUGGCGAAGGCGGCUCACUGGCCCGGUACUGACGCUGAGGUGCGAAAGCGUGGGGAGCAAACAGGG
rnacentral:rRNA from 1 species